UGCUGGGGUGAGGCUGCCGCGUGCGUCCCGCACCGAUCUGUGCGGGUACCCGAGGGCUUUUCCCUGUGCUGCAGGCAGAGAUGGGCCCUUUCUACAGCUGAUGGGGACGGGAGAUGGAGGAGCCUUUGCAGCGCUCCUUCACCUGCUCACGACUAAGGGAGUCCCUGCACCUGACUGGAUCUCCCCAUGGAGCCCCGGAUACAGGGUGGUGCUGAGGAACUGCAGGAGGGAUGUUUGCCCCACGAGGUGUCCCCAGCACAAUGGACGGUGCCGGAGGUGUGUGCCUGGCUGGGUGCACGACACGGGCACCUGGCACCGCUGGCAGCCAAGCACAAGGUCACUGGGCGAGCCCUGCUGCGCUUGACAGAGGGGACACUGCGACGCAUGGGGGUGGCACCGUGCAGCCGAUGCUGGGAGCUGCUGCAGGAGCUGCUGGGCCUGCGGCUGCUGCAGGAGCUUGAGGAGCUGCUGAGCAUCGUUGGGAGGGAGCAGCAUCCACGGGGCCUUGGUGAUGUCCCCACAGAUGGACCAAGGUCACCUCCAUCCCCAGAGUGAAGGCUGUGGGCAGGGAGCUGAUGCCACGUGAUGGAAUUAAGCACAUGACGUGGCAGCAGUGCUGGAAGGAGGCCACCGUGUUCCCAAAAUAUCCCAAACACAGCUGGUGAUGUAGGGAUGUGCAAGGAGAAGGUGGCUGCUGGGUGACACCAGUGGGUGCUCCUGCAUCCGGCAGGGCAGGGGGAGCCUGGUGACAAUAAUGCAGUGGGGACUGUCCCCAUCCACCAGAUCCUGCUGCAAGUCUGGGGUGCACUGACCCACAUCAUGGGACCUCCCUUGGCAGAGUAUUGGACAGCACUUGGGGUUGGCAGAAUGAGUAGGGCACGGGGCAGGACUGUGGGCCUCAAUAAACGUGAUGGAGCUGUGAAACUGC